rnacentral:lncRNA from 12 species
UGCUUGGGUGAGGCGGGCUGACCUGCUGUGGGCCUGGACAGGACUCCCUCACCCACCUGGGGGGCUGGGGGCCGCCAAGAGCUGAGAAGGCUCCUGGAGAGCCAUGCUGCUCUCUGCUGCAGCGGGGAGUCUCCACCCAAAGUGCCGGCUGAGCUGAGGAGCCUCCCUGCUGCCCAGCACCAGGGAGCAGAGCCAAGACCAUCCACAGGGGAGAGUGACCCGAUGGUCCUGCUUUCUUCUUUCUUGGGACUCGCAGAGCCAGUUGGAUGAAAAUAAAAUCCCAGAGAGUGAGUUCUGUGCUGAAGGACGGCCAGAAGGGGGGAAGGCCAGCAUUGGGGCCCCCCAGGCCAGGCUCUGAGUGUAGCAGCCCACCCUUCCCAGGGCUGCGGCCCCCACUGCAUCAUGAUGCCCCACCUAACCAGGGCUGAGGCCUGGGACAGGGCCAGGGCACAGCAGUAGCUGAGGGUCUGCCCCACCCCCCGGCCCCGCUGCGCGCCUGCCCUGCCACCCCUCCUCUGGUGCAUCAAAGAAGAAAAUUUUCACCCUUACUUUUCUGGGUGGGAGAAGAGGAAGCAACCUAGAUUAUAAAGUGUACAGGGACCAAUCCAUUGGAAGAGCAGAAGUGGGACUUCCUUAUUCCAGAACCAAGGUGGGGGCUUCCCCAGCCCAGGCCCAGGCCCCGGGGCGUCAGCCCAGAGCAGCUCAGCAGGGCACAGCACCUCGAAUGCAGCUCCAGCCUCACCUUUGAUGGCUGCAAAACCCAGACCCAUUUCGAGAGCCCUAUGUCUCUUCCUAACAAAGAUGAUUUGGCUUCUCUGUGAUGAUACUUACCCACCAGGAUCGGAUAAAGAGUCAAGGAAAGUGUAUUUCAUCACUCAGUGGAUAGUCUGCAAGUUCAUAAUCGCCGACCUCAGGAGUCACACAAACACACAGCAUCUGGACAAUAAAAACGUGUUCCUGUCCUUGGAGCUGGUCUCAGAGGACCCGUCAUCCUGUCCAGACGAUGGAGGAUUCUGGAUCCCUCAGAGUCCAUCCACAGAAGAAAGAAGCAUGUUUCUAGAGCUGAGAAGGGGGAUUAGGAAGCCACUGGGAAGUUCUAGCUUUCUGAGACUAAACAAAUAUGAGUUUUGGAGCAAGAGAUUCAAAUAAAUGAGAGUUUAUAUAUCAGGUUUUGUUUUCAAUGACGGCAGACGCCUCCGAAUGACACAGUGGCUCAGAGAGAGGAGACUUUGCUCUGUGGGGACCAUGUUCCCCUAAAACAUAAGCACUGGCACCCGUCAAGCAGCUUCAUCCCAGGGGCGAUCUCACCCUCGCGUGGGGCAUUCCCUGUGGUCGGGGGUCCUGGAGGCCCCAGGGCUCUUCACACGGGGCUGAGAGACCCAGAGCUGCCGCCUGCAGCCUCACCCGCCUCCCCGUCGUGUGCAACGAGAGAUGGACCUUCACG